rnacentral:tRNA from 1 species
GACCCCGUAGUUCAACUGAAUAGAAUAGUCGCCUCCUAAGCAACAGAUCUGGGUUUGAGUCCCGGCGGGGUCA